rnacentral:rRNA from 1 species
GACGAACGCUGGCGGCGUGCUUAACACAUGCAAGUCGAACGGAAAGGCCCUGCUUUUGUGGGGUGCUCGAGUGGCGAACGGGUGAGUAACACGUGAGUAACCUGCCCUUGACUUUGGGAUAACUUCAGGAAACUGGGGCUAAUACCGGAUAGGAGCUCCUGCUGCAUGGUGGGGGUUGGAAAGUUUCGGCGGUUGGGGAUGGACUCGCGGCUUAUCAGCUUGUUGGUGGGGUAGUGGCUUACCAAGGCUUUGACGGGUAGCCGGCCUGAGAGGGUGACCGGCGACAUUGGGACUGAGAUACAGCCCAGACUCCUACGGGAGGCAGCAGUGGGGAAUAUUGCACAAUGGGCGGAAGCCUGAUGCAGCAACGCCGCGUGCGGGAUGACGGCCUUCGGGUUGUAAACCGCUUUCGCCUGUGACGAAGCGUGAGUGACGGUAAUGGGUAAAGAAGCACCGGCUAACUACGUG